rnacentral:rRNA from 1 species
UACGGGGGGGGCAAGCGUUGUUCGGAAUUACUGGGCGUAAAGGGCUCGUAGGUGGCCAACUAAGUCAGACGUGAAAUCCCCAGGCUUAACCUGGGAACUGCGUCUGAUACUGGAUGGCUUGAAUUCGGGAGAGGGAUGCAGAAUUCCAGGUGUAGCGGUGAAAUGCGUAGAUAUCUGGAGGAACACCGGUGGCGAAGGCGGAUCUCUGGGCCAUUACUGACGCUGAGGAGCGAAAGCGUGGGGAGCGAACAGG